rnacentral:rRNA from 1 species
GAUGAACGCUGGCGGCGUGCCUAAUACAUGCAAGUCGAGCGAACUUUUGGGAGCUUGCUCCCAACAGUUAGCGGCGGACGGGUGAGUAACACGUGGGUAACCUGCCUGUAAGACUGGGAUAACUUCGGGAAACCGGAGCUAAUACCGGAUAACAUUUAAUACCACAUGGCCUUCAUUUAAAAGUUGGCUUUUAUCUACCACUUACAGAGGAACCCGCGCCGCAUUAGCUAGUUGUGGAGGUAACGGCUCACCAAGGCGACGAUGCGUAGCCGACCUGAGAGGGUGAUCGGCCACACUGGGACUGAGACACGGCCCAGACUCCUACGGGAGGCAGCAGUAGGGAAUCUUCCGCAAUGGACGAAAGUCUGACGGAGCAACGCCGCGUGAGCGAAGAAGGCCUUCGGGUCGUAAAGCUCUGUUGUUAGGGAAGAACAAGUAUCGUUCGAAUAGGGCGGUACCUUGACGGUACCUAACCAGAAAGCCACGGCUAACUACGU